rnacentral:rRNA from 1 species
AACGAACGCUGGCGGCAUGCUUAACACAUGCAAGUCGAACGGAAAGGCCCUUCUUUUUUGGGGUGCUCGAGUGACGAACGGGUGAGUAACCCGUGAGUAACCUGCCAUUGACUUUGGGAUGACGUCAGGAAACUUGAUCUAAUACCGGAUAGGAGCUCCUGCUGCAUGGUGGGGGUUGGAUAGUUUCGGCGGUUGGGGUUGUACUCGCGGCUUAUAAGCUUGUUGGUGGGGUAGUGGCAUACCAAGACUUUGACGGGUAGCCGGCCUGAGAGGGUGACCGGCGACAUUGGGCCUGAGGUAGGGCCCAGACUAGAAUGGGAGGCAGCAGUGGGGAAGAUUGUACAAUGGGCGGAAGCAUGGUGUAGCAACGCCGCGUGCGGGAAGAGGGCCUGUGGGUUGUAAAACGCUUUCGUUUGAGACGAAGCGUGAGUGACGGUAACGGGUGAAGAAGCACCGGCUAACUACGUG